rnacentral:snRNA from 1 species
CUUUUUUGGCUUCGGCACGUACUAUCGCCAGUGAGGUCUUUACCGAGGCAUAGUCUUUUGCUGAUUGCAAAUUACACAUCCGAACCCGUCUGUUAGCUUCGGCUUUCAGCAAUUUUUGGACAACCCCCUCUUAUAUUUCUCUUCGUUUCCUUAGUGACAGUGU